CCCUUCCCUUUCCAGCUUUUAACUGAUAGAAUCUCAUUUCAGCUGAGAAGAAUACGAAGGAGCUGCUCCUUCAUAUACGGUGUGAUUUCUAGGAGGAUAACUUUCCAUCUCUUGGUCUGUAUAGAAGUGAGAAGUCCAAUAGGUGGAAAAGGAAGAAUGACUUUUAACCAAUAAUUUUUAUUAACUUCAUUGUUCAAAUAAUAGGGUGGGACACUUCUGGACCAGAACUUCUCAGUUCGCAUUGAAGACUCUAAGAUAGAAUUGAGUAUAAUUAUCAUCUGCAAUGACACAUGUGAUGGCACACGUUUGUUUUGAACAAGACGUUAAAAAGAGUGAUUGAAUUUGCAAGAGUGACAAUUGUGACAAUUGAUAAUUGCAGAGAUGUUGCCUCCAUCAUUUUCGCAGGUAUGGAAAUUUACUAUCGUUCUCAAAAAUGGAUGGCAAGAUUCAGUAUGAUGCUAUGAAAAAUGAUAGUGCUGCAGUGUUUCUUUUAUAUACCAAUGCCUUUUGAACUUACCUGUCAAAUAGAACAAUAAUGUAUGAAUACUUGUCUUCAGGUUUGGGUUAAAAUAGAAUACUUAAAGGGCACAUUUGGGUUUGCUUUCAUAAAUUGCUUUGAACAUGGUAUCUCUAGUCUCUUCAACAUACUAUUAUUUUGAAAUACAUUCAAUAUUUAUUCUAAUAUUAUGAACUCAAUAUUCUGUAAUUGAAAACAUAAAAUGCUAGCAUGAUUUUAAUCUGCUGUCUAUUUUGAAAGCUUAUGUUGAUACUUUUUUUUCAUUAUUCUACAGAGGAUUGUGUUUUAAAUAAAAUCUUUCCUUGAAUGUCUGGUUAGUGUUUUUGUAAGCUAAAAGCAUGUUUUCUGCUUUGUUUUGUGCUUCAAGUACAGGUACAUUAUUCUUCUAUUACAAUAAUUCAGCAGAGCAUGCCUCUAGUUGCUUGUAUUUUUCUGUGAAAGCUAGCCGUCAUCUUUUGCAGAUCUCUCCUUAUUUUGAAAUAAUUUACUUCUGAUGAAAUAGUAAAGAUGAUGACUUGCAUCACUGUUACUAUACAGCAAUGGUGACUUCUCUGAGAUUGUAAAUACUGAGUGGUGAUUGGAAAUCAAGCCAGCCAGUGCUCUGUCCUCUGAAGUUCAGAAAGUGACUAACGUGGCUGAGGCAGGGCCAAGGCUUUAGUAGUAGGAAAUCAGACUAGGCAAAACAGUUCAGAGUAACACUGCAAAGCUACACUGUACAUUAAAAAAAGGAAGAGAGAAGUUGUAGCAAGUCAUUUCUAUCUGCCUUUGAUUCUGUCAUAUCUUGCUCUUAAAAUGUGCCAUUCUAUUAACUUCUAUUAAAUGCAUUUUCUUAAUUAUGUAUCUCUUUCUCUAUGUGUUUGUAUUGCACUUUUACACUUUCAAUCUGUCAGUUGAUCCUUCUGCUUAAUAUUACCUAAUUACUUAAUGUUACCUAUCAUUGUUACAGACAAGGCUAUAUAAUAAUGAUAACGUAUGCAAAUAAAGGAAUAUGUGUAAU
rnacentral:lncRNA from 7 species